CUUAGGCUUUGGACUAAAGUGACAAAUAGUAGUGUGCUCUCACUCAGUGGAUUUAUCAAAGCUGCAGUGACUGGACUAGAUAGAAAAACUGAAUGUGUUUCGGACAGACAAACUGAGGGUGGUUGAUUCUUUAGCUGCCUAGAACUGUUGAGUGAGCGGCCAUGUACAGGACCGGAAAUACCUUGAAUAACUUGACUAAUGAGUUAUAUGUCAAGUGGUUUGAAGCUCUGCCCAGCAUUGGCAGGGACAGACAGCAGCCUUGCUCAGGUCAUCAACUACAAUUUGACAGCAAACCUGCAGCUGCAUGGCUUAGUAAGUAGCAAACCUCUUGCCUAUAUAUGGAGGUAACUGUCGAAGAAGUGUGCACUGAUCUGUCCCUUCAUCCUCGACUAUUUCACCAAAGUUGUCUUUGUUUUUGUUGACAGGCAGUCACAAAACAGUGAAAAUCAUCAUGGAAGGAGACAUAAGUGGGAUUCACGUGACCCAAAGAACACACCAAUGAAAAAUCAAGUUACAAAUCCCUCAUCUCUGCAUUUUGGGUUUCAUAUAGAGCCUGCAUUGUGCACCCCUGAACAAGCAAAAUGUGUCCAACAUUUACUCAAUGCCAUGCACUUAAGAUUAUGCACUUUAAAUCAUUCAGAUGGAGCCCCUUGUUUGUGUUUUUGGGCGCCUAAUGGGGAAAAAGUUUGAAUUUGCCUUUCUGUGAAAACAUUUACAUUAGCGAUGCUUAUGAUGUGCAGUUUUUGUGCAGCUCUGUCUGCCACCACCCGUUUUUACCAUUAGGAGUUUGAUAUCCCUGCUAGUUUCAGGUAAUGCUGAUAUCAGUAAUUGUGCAUUCCCACUGAAAUCAAGCAUUUGUCCAAAAUUUUCGCAGCACACCUCUAUCGGUCACAUGUCUAGAUCCGAGCAUUCUUUUCAAUCAAAUCAGCACUCCACAAUAUUUAUUUACUCACUUUUUUCUCAAAGUGACUAGUUAUGAUCUAAUGAGAAAGAAAGCUGCCAAAAACCAGCACUCUGGUCCACUCCACUGACGGUUCAGGAAACUGAGGUUUAAGGGAGACAGGGAUCCUCCUGUUCCAGCUGCAGCUGCUCGGCCCAGAGCAGUUUAACUUUAUUUGGGUUAAAGUUUCCCCCAUCUAUCAAUGCCAUUUACCAGAUUUCUUUGUUAUGAAUGAAUCUCUUCUGUUCUCUUUUUGUUUGGUUGGCUCCAGGGUCCAUGACGGAAAACAGAGAAAUUCACUUUGUAGUUUUUCCCCUUUUGUCAAUGAUUUAUGCAAUUAAACCAAGACAUAAAAGGGCAAAACAAGUUUGGCUUUAAUUUCAUCCUUCAGAAAACCAUGUUUAAAUAUCACUUUUCACUUCUUAACAUCUCCAGGUGAGCCCCCAGUGACCUCAACCUGAGAGCUGUGGCCAAGUGUGUCUAAAUGUAAAGUGACGUCUCAAUCUAUAACAAAGAUACCAGCAGUAAUGGUUAACAUGCUUCCAUUUCUCUGCGUUUAGUGUAAGAAAUGGUCCCUAAAUUGGACACUCAUCUACUAUUUAAGUCUCAUUGUGUGAUGAACUUAACCUCCAAUGAAGUGGCAUACCACAGAGAAAGACUGUGCAGCAAAGUGUGAAAUAAGACAUCACAGAAAAAUGACUCAACCUCAACUAUUCAGGGCUGAAUUAAUGUUUGACAAAGUAGUCAGAGCUAACAUCUGCUGCUGUAAUUAGAUUAAACUCAUCCCAUUCAUACUGGCGGAGACGAGGGGCAGCACGGUCUCUGCAGUGAGAGGUCUGCAUGUUAAAAAAUCUGAAGGCUACAUUUUUUGUGUAAAGAAAGGAGCAGACAUAAUCCUCUCUGACUGGAGCCUUCAGGCAGACUUCACUUUGUUUCUCCAUAAUCAGCAACAAUGCUGCAAAAACAACGGGAAAGUGAGGGAACCAAAAAAGCUUCAUGAGACGGUGAAAUGCAAGAAUGGAUCAUGUAAUUAGAUCAGUUCAUGGGGCACCACUGCAACUUAGCCAAUCAGAAAACCCAUAAUACUUUUUCUAACUUGCUUUUUUUGUCAAGAAUUUCGUAAGAAUGUCAGAUAUGAAGUUCAAGUUAAGACUCAUUUCAGCUAUUCAUCUCAUACGCAUACUGAUACAAAGAUGUAAAGUUCUGUCUGCACUUUCCAAACAUUUUGUCUGUUUUUCUUCACAUUUGCUGGGUGGUUUCUGAUCAUGUGCAGCAGCACCUGAAAUUGUGAAGUAAUUUGCAAAGUGUUUGACUUUCAAAAAGUUUCACCCUUGUACUGAUGCAUCUCAAUAACCUCUGAAUGGAAACUCCAUAGUAAAAGGAAAUUAUCAGCAGAGAGGUGUUUUUUUUCCCCCUUUAAAGGAUAUUCUGACGUAAACUUAAGUCAUGGUCAAACACACCGUAACACCGAGUUAGACACCACCUCCAGAGAUGAAUGUUGCUGGCUGCUUGCUUCUCUAGUUAUACCAACUUUAGUAAUGACCACAAGAUAGCAAUACACAGCGGACUGUGGAGCCAUAAACAAACCUCAACCAAAGAGCCACUCUAUAGCCACCAAUAAUGCUCAGAACAGCACCUAACUUUAUCAGCAGUACAUAUAGGGUCCCAGCUAUAGUACUAGCCACCAAACAUCUUUUUAGCUUUGCCUGAUUUUUUUAGCAAAGAGACUAAACACAACUCACCUACUCUUGUCUAGCAGCUGCUUGUUUGUGAGCCCUGACGAGUCGAUCACCGAGUGCAGCAGAUAAUUUCCAUGAAGUAAUGGUAGUUAUUCUGCCUUAGCGUCUCAGUCUGAUUGUCAUGAAUGUUCUUCCUUGAGCUGUGAAACUCGUCAGGGCUCCCCCACAAACAAGUGGUUGCUGGAGGAGAGUUAUCCAUUUUAAUAGUGUGUGUGUGUGUGUGUGUGUGUGUGUGUGUGUGUGUGUGUGUGUGUGUGUGUGUGCCUGUGUGUGUGUGUGUGUUUUAAAGUAUACCAACACCUCUAAAAAAAUUUACAUAAUGUUAUAGAAAAACUACGAAAAGUGGCAACACCAAACAUCAUCAGACAGUUGCAGUUAUUAACGAGUGGAGGUAAAUUACCAACCAUGUCUGUUGGCUUACUGCAGGCACAUCUGACCUCAGUCAUUUUACCUGGAAAUGCAAAGCCCUUUUCUGCUAAGAAUCGACACUGAGGAGUCAAACUACCACCCUACAAGAUGUAUUAAGUAAGAAAUGCAUCACAAUAUACUUUAAAUGCACAAUCUGGCCAAGAAAAACUGUAAAAUAAAAUGAAAUAUUAGUUAUGGUGGCAUUAUUGGUUGGUGUGUAGACACAGCUCACUUCUAAGAUUAAAAAGAAAAAAAAGUAUGAAAACAUCAAUUUAUACGACAUCCAUUAGUUUCAGGAUAAGUAAAAGCGCCUUGAUAUUUUAAUGCCGUGAUCCUUUAAUUCUGUUGUGCUUCGGUUCUUACCCUCCUUCCUGUUAUCCUACCUCUGAGGUGUUUUCAGGAGCUGGCAGUUAGCGAGCUUAGCUUGGCACAAAGCCAUGAAACAAAUAUCCAGCCCGGCACCAUCCCAAAGAAAUAAAACUCUGGCACCUCCAAACUCACCAAUUAACACAUCAUGCCGUUUCUGUUUACUCUGUGCAAAACAGGCAUAUUUAAAGCUCAGCUAAACUGAGAUUAAUGUCUCAGAUUUAUAAUCACCCCUUAGAGCUCAGAGAUGAGAGCUAUUUUAUAUCUAACUGUAAGCACAGAAAAGCAGAAUGUCAAAUAUUUUACAGACUCUUUAUUCAGUCCUUUUGGAGAGCAUUAUCAGUCACUGGAAAAUACACCCUGCGCAUUCAACCAAAUAAUAUCAUGUUCACGCUUCAGCUUCUUCCUCUCUAGUGCUGAAAGGUGAUAUCAAGAACUAACUCAUGAAGCUGCAUGUGGUACACAUUCUUCAACCUACUUUUCUCCUAUUAAUGACUGAUAUUUCUGCUCUCAGAGAGUGGAAACUGAAUAUCAUCCAGUUGAUGUGACAGAGCCGUAAAGUGUGAUUUAUGUUUCAAAGGUCUAAUUGGCAGCAUUUCCUCUGUCUCGAGGCUGCAGCAGUCAGAUAUUUGACAUAUCUGAAAACCUUGGGAGAUAUAUACUUGGCCUUAAACGGCGCUGGCUGGUCUCAGAUAAUUUAUCUUUGUCUUGAGCUCCCACUGAAAAAAGAGCAAGCCUGCUUCUGUGGCUAACUGUAUUUCUCUUUGGAAAUAUCGAUUUACGCAGUUCAGCAGAACAAUGUCUUGACGGAAAUUUUUUAACGGAGAAAAAGAAAACAAUAAAAAGGUUAUAGAUGCAGGCGGUUUAGGAACAGCUCGUAUAACUUUACUCCAAACUAUAUUUUUUCCAGCCUUUUUAUAUAAAAUCAAAAUAUAUUAUGCUAUAAAAUGUCACGCACUGUAAUUGGAGACAGGCAGCAAUCAUUCCCGGGGACAUUUUUAAUAGAAGAAGUCCACACAAACUGCAGAUUUCAUCUUUCCUGUUGCUCUGUGGCUCCAAUUCUUGUGGUUCUCAAAUGUCUUAACAACUGUAAUUUGCCACAGACAUCCCUCCUCUUCUGUUAUCUUUUAGCCUUUCUUGCAGCAACAUUGAAUUCCUGUUUGUCAAAUACUUUGGCUAUAGUGAACAAACUUAGAAUAAUGCCUCAAACCGCUGCUGUGUUCUAUGUUCAACAAGAAAAUAUAAGCUCUCUUGCACUGUAUCCUUUUAAAAUAGAAAAGCCUGUAAAAUACCAGCAGGUUAGCAAUGAGAGUAUGUUAGCAGCAGAAGUCUCAUAGAAAUGUUUGCACCAUUUUAAAGUCCAAGCACAAGUGAAAUCAUUAGCAUGAAUAAAUAACAUGUUAAGUCAAUGCAAAGACGCAAUAAGACACUCAUACCAUUCUGGCGGCGCAAAUUCAGCAGGCGCAAAUCCGCGAGAGUUGAAAUAUCUCAACUUGCACCAAUAUUUGCAAUGCAAUAACCAAUCAGCAUGAAGAUUCCUGGGUGAUAUAUGAAAAUGGACCAGAAGAUAUUCACUUGUGUGAAAAUAUAUACACAAAUCCUUUUACUCACAGUGGACAGAUGGACAGGAGCUCUGCAUAUAAGGAUAGAGCGCCUGCAAUUGGUAUUCUGAAGGGAUAUCCUGGCACCGACCCUUUCCAACAAGUCAUCAAAUUGGGUUCGGGUAACCCGAAAGUACUGCUGAAAACAGCCGUCAUCCUGGCGCAGCUAUUGGAGGAGACCCAGACAAGGCGAUGCCUAUGGUUGUGGGCCUCCACAACAAAAAUAAAGCAGCAAUCUCACGCUUAAUGGAGACUCUCCCCCUCUCUCAUAUCCACAGCUUUUUUAACAAACAAGAAUAAAAAAGGAGCUCAUCUGAAGGAAAGUGAGAGAAGAGGUUGGAUUAUCUGAUAAAUUGUAAAAAACCAUUGUCUAUCACUUGACCCUGCCAGUUGAAUUGGCAAGGAUCACUGUUGAAAUUAGCAUAAACAGUUAUUCAGGGCCUUAAAGCACUCAGUUGACGUACAAAACAUUCGGACACUACGAAUGAAGCGAGUAAAUACUUCUCAUUCACGCAUCUAGACACACACGAAUUAGAGUAGAUGAUAUUACUUGCGCUUGGUGUGAACGCCCCAUUAGUCUUUAUAAGUAAAUAUUCAUCAUGUCUUAUCAAUUUGCAUUCAGAACUUAGCUUUGGUAUCAUUUCUAGCCUUUCCAGCCCUUUAUAACAUCAAGACUUGGGUCUGCAUUUGAUUGAGAACGAUGUUGAUUAAUCUUGAGCCUGGCUCGUUCAUAGUUAAGACUGCUACAGCCUCAUGCUUAUUCUGUCGCUUGGCUUUUCGGACACACCAAUCUGCCUCCUCUUGCUCCUCUCCCUGUCCCCCUCUCUCCACCUGCUGUAGCACAUCUUUGUGUUCCCAAACCAAAAUCUGAGCGAAGAAUGAAGAGAAAGUGAGAGCUGUUGAGGGGAGGGGCCAUGCACAAGGUGAAAAGGGGGAAAUGUAGUAAGUCAGCAAUUUCCAAUAUGGUGCCACCAUCUUUAGUCUUCUUUUGCGCCUUUCCAGUAACCAGUAAAUGAUGGCGCUGAGACUACAGACAUCCAUGUUUUACACACAUGAGAGUUAAUGCUCCUGUGUAAAACAAUGCUUCGAAUUUCCCAUCUACUCUGACUUUCAUUUCUUUGUGAUCAAAGGUUGUGUGACAAAGUUACAGCGCUAUAAAAUGCAAUAUUUGCAUUUUAAGUUCCAUUUCAAUGAUUUACACUUCCCAUUGAUCUGUUUCCACACUGCUCAGUUUUAUGGACUCUCUCAGUCAUUAUGAACCACAUUUCCCUCCUGAGUGACCUCCUGUAAACAGCAUUGCGCUUAAUUCAUUGAAAGCUGUAACUUUUGCAGCCCUAAUCCAAAUUAUUCACAGUUCUGUCACUGCUGUGUUAUGCAAACAUGCAGCACAUGUCAGCUCCAUAAAUCUUAAUGCAGUGUCUGGAUUGGGGAAUUAUCUGAACACAGAGAGAAAACAAGCAAAGCCUUUUAGCUGUUGAGGCAAUAUUGAUUUGAUUUGCUUUCUGUACAAGAAAUUCAUUGAUGCACGCUGUCUUCUCCGGAGAGUGAUAUUAGUUUCCCUCAGGAGGGAUGGAUCCUGUCCGAGCCAGGCGUAAAGAAUUGGCUCCAGACGCAGCAGCAGCGUGGGCCCCUUCGUGAAUGUAUAACAUGUUAUUAAAGCAGAGAAAGUUGUUACAGGACUGUUUCUCUUGAUGGUUACCCAAAGCUAUCCAGUUCUGUGGUCACAGGAAGAGCAUUUAUUUCUCGCGUUUCUCUGAGCAGUGAGGCAGCUGACGACACUAAACCCUCGUCUCGCUUUCUACGCUCGCUUGCUCGUUCUAUUCAGUUUCACUCUCUAGAAACUGCCAGCUCAGCUACUCUCAUUUUAUAAAACCCACAGUUUCACUCCAAGAACAGUUUGUUCUGCAAGAACCAGCCAGAGGGAAUGUUUUUUUUUCGACUGAAACUUCUCAUGCAUGCUUGAAAAAAUCUGAAUAAUUGAUCAGUCUGGGAAAAUGCCUUUUGUUGUGGGAAGAUUUUAGUGAGAAGCUGCUUUCGUUUUACUGUUAUUGAACUACACUACCCAGAAAUCACAGUAUGAAGUUAAUGUGAGGUCUCUGUAGGCUACUAAUGCUUAUAGUAAAAGAAAUGUUGUUUUACCAAAUGCUGGGUUAGGGUUAGUAUUAAAUUAUGUUUAAUAUUACAAAAAGACAAAUGCUUAGCACAUUAUAAAGAAGAAAAGUGACCACUAUAUGUAAAAACAGAAAUAAAGUAAACCAAAUAAAAGUGAGAAAAAAACAAGGUACAGGUAAAGCUAAAGCACAAAGACAGGUCACUUUUGAAAAUGUAUAUUUUGAUGAAUCCACUGGUUUAAAGAUUUAAAAAGAAAAAAAAAACACUCAGAAAUCAAUCGAGAUUAAGCUCAGUUUAAUAAAAACAGCUAUACAUGACAUUUCGGAGUCUGCGCAUAAAUCAUAUCAUUGUUUUUAGCAGAGCAAGCAUCAGCCUUCAGUCUUCAUUUGUGUACUUGAUUAACCAAACACAAAUCAAGGUGACAGGAAAUAUAAGCGAAAAACAUAUUCUGUUGUCAAAACUUUCAGAUUGUCACUAAACAGAAUGAAAUCACUAGUGAUACCUCGUGUGAUCAUUAGCAACUGGACAGACAGUUUGCGUUAUGUCAUUUUUUAUUCCUGUUACCACAAUAAAAGAGUAGGUAUAAAACAGAGAUGACUUUUAAAAAAACUGUUGCCAUGCAAAAAAAACAAAAAAAAAAAAAAGAAUGACAUAAAAAAAAAACCUCACAUAUACAAAGAAUAUGAUUAGCAAAAAAAUACACAGUAACAGUUUGUCCAAAGUCAAAACAUGGAAAGUUCCUUAGAUUUAAAUGCACUCUUGAGGUUUGUCUCUUUACAAUGCUCAUCCUCACAGACGCUGCAAGAUCCUGCACACAUGGAAACAAAACUGUACAUUCCUGCAAAUACUACAGUUCUUUCAUACACACACAUACAAAGAAAAAAGUAUUAAUGAGGUAUUAAUGACUUUUUUACUUGGUGUCAUUUUGUUUACUUUUUCUUCUUUUAUGUCAGUGUCAUGUUUUGUACAAAACACAGUUUCUUUAACAGGUAAACUUUCUGCAUUUUUAAUAUAUUCCGUUAUUAUGUGAAAAUCCUGAAGUACUUUCAGACAACAGAUCCUCAAACUGGCCUGAAGCUGUUUCUUAGUCUCCAGCUCAUCAUUGUUUUCCAGCAGCUUUCUAACACUUAACACAUUUUAAUAUGUGUUUUUAUCUUGCUUUUACCCCAUAGGGGUUCUUCAGCCAUCUGAUUGUCUUUUAAAUGCAGAUUAUGCUUGUUUUUAAUUGUUUUAAAUGCAAUAUUAAAAACUUCACAAUGGUCUGUUUUGUGCAUUUCUUUGCCCCUGGUGAGCACUUUGCCUUGUGCAGA
rnacentral:lncRNA from 1 species